rnacentral:rRNA from 1 species
CGAGGGUGCAAGCGUUAAUCGGAAUUACUGGGCGUAAAGCGAGUGUAGGCGGCUAUUUAAGUCGGAUGUGAAAGCCCCGGGCUCAACCUGGGAAUUGCAUUCGAAACUGAAUAGCUAGAGUUUGGUAGAGGUAAGUGGAAUUCCGGGUGUAGCGGUGAAAUGCGUAGAUAUCCGGAGAAACAUCAGUGGCGAAGGCGGCUUACUGGACCAAAACUGACGCUGAGGCUCGAAAGCGUGGGGAGCAAACAGGAUUAGAUACCCGAGUAGUCC